AGAGAGGGGGCUAUUUUGACAAUGAAUUGGACUGAAUUAGGACUUAUAUGGACCAGCUCUUGCUUUUAAGCUAUAAGCUAUUUAUAAGUAAACUACUAUUUCUUAUUUUGCUUUCCGUUCCUAGCUUCUAGAACUCUUAUCAACAAAUAAAUAGGGCUGUGUUCUCUCUAUUGCUUUAUAACGGCUUCAUGUUUGUGCUCUUCCCGCAUCCACUGGGCUUAAAGGACCAGAACUAGAUAGAAGGGAAUUUUUUUCAGAAAUCAACAUGAAUUAAGGAAGUAUGUCUUGAUUUGUGUUUCACAAUGGAGAUAUUUGUUAUUACUUUUUUUUAGCCGCAUGUUGAUUUUGGGAUCAUAAAAACGAUACAGAUUUUGUUUUCCCUAUUUUAGAACGCCACAUGAAUGACUUAUGGUGUUGGUGAAAUGCUCUCUAUAACACCACAAAGUGUCUUCUUAGUUAAAAUCAACAAACCAUAUUGAUGAGUGAAUUUGCUUCUUCAGUGAUUUCUGUGGACAGAAGAGUCUGAGGCAGGGGAAGAAGGAUGCACGAGAAUGUUCGGAUGUGUAAGGUGCUUUGUGAACACACGAGGCUGCUCACCUAUGGCUCCAUGACAGGGAUUGACAUCAGUGGUGGGGAAAUUUCAGCUUUUCCUCAAUCUAAGAAGAAAUUUAAUUAAAGGUUCUUAGUGAAGCCGCGUUUAAAACAUUUGAAGUUCCCCCUAGAAGCAACUAUUUCAUCCUGUUUGUUUACCCACAUAUGGCCCUGAAUUGUAUGCAAUCACCCAGAACUUCAGGCUAGUCCAACGUUGAUUGUGCAGUGACUGCGGCCACUGUGAUAAGGUGCGGGAGAUGAACAGAUGAAUAAGACAAAAUCCAUGCCUACUGGGAUCAUGGUUUCAUGGAAGAUCCACUGAUACGGGUGUAUGGAUAGAGAUAUGGAUUUAGAGGAUAUCUCUAGUUCAUUGAAUAACACACAUUGUCUUGGGUUCCAGAAAUAUGAUGAUAUACUGCAGUGGUCUUCAAACUCGUGAUGAACAAAGUAUGGGGAAGAGGGCCGGGCCCGGUGGCACAGCUGUUAAGUUCGCACGUUCCGCUUCUCGGUGGCCCAGGGUUCGCCGGUUCAGAUCCCGGGUGUGGACAUGGCACCACUUGGCACGCCAUGCUGUGGUAAGCAUCCCACAUAUAAAGUAGAGGAAGAUGGGCACGGAUGUUAGCUCAGGGCCAGGCUUCCUCAGCAAAAAAAAACCAGGAGGACUGGCAGUAGUUAGCUCAGGGCUAAUCUUCCUCAAAAAAAAAAAAAAAAGUAUGGGGUAGAAAUUAUAUUAAAGGGAACAUUAGGGAACCAUGGUAAAAAUAUCAUAAGAAUAAUAAAAAUAUAGUUUAGAUAACUUUUUCUGUUUCU
rnacentral:lncRNA from 1 species